rnacentral:rRNA from 1 species
UACGAAGGGGGGCUAGCGUUGCUCGGAAUGACUGGGCGUAAAGGGCGCGUAGGCGGAUGGCACAGUCAGAUGUGAAAUUCCCGGGCUUAACCUGGGGGCUGCAUUUGAUACGUGUUGUCUUGAGUUCGGAAGAGGGUCGUGGAAUUCCCAGUGUAGAGGUGAAAUUCGUAGAUAUUGGGAAGAACACCGGUGGCGAAGGCGGCGACCUGGUCCGACACUGACGCUGAGGCGCGAAAGCGUGGGGAGCGAACAGG